UUUAGAUAUAUUUUUUUUUAUAAGUAGUCACUCAUGAAAAUCUUAAAGGAUGUAAUGUGAUGAAAAUAGAAAGUACACAGAUACAACAUAUAACUCAACAUUAACCCUAAGCAAAACAUGACUAAUAAAAUAAACAACAACGGCUAACUAAACCACACAGCAACACACAUCACAAUACAAUUACCCUCAAUAUCAUCUCAAUACAAACUUACCACCUACAACUACUUAAACAAUAUAUUCCCCUGCUACUACUUCCAAAUUCAUUUUAUAGCAACUUACAUUCAAUUUUAUUUCUCUCCCAAAUCCUCCUACAGUGAUAAAUUUCUCACAUGAUCACCUCUAUAUUAAUCUCCUUGUCUCUAGAUAUCUAGUUAUUUAUACAUAAAUUAUGUUGGAGUAUUGGAUGUUUUUUUAAUAUAAAUCAAAUUAAAUUAAUAAAUUUUAGAAUUAAGUACGAUUUUAAUCCUUAUAAUUUUUUCCGAAAAUAAAAAUUGUUCCUAAUAUUUUUUUGUGUUUAAAAUUGUCCCUAUUGUUGAAUUUAUUUUAAAAUCAUUCUUUGUCAUCACAAAUUUUUUUAAAGACAAAAUUGCCCUUGGAUGUUAAUCCUCACCAACCCUUUCAUUGGUCUUUUUGAACAUUGAAGACAAUAAACUCUCUUUGGAUCUAUCCGAAGAACGAACCAAUAUGAAACGAAGCCAAGUUUGGAUUUUGAAUUCAACCCAUUUAUCCCAUAUGAAGGAUCCACCGAAUCGGAAGGUGAAGAGACACACUAAUGUAUAUGUAUGAAUAUAUCUCGACAACGACCCCUCAAGCGGCCUUUCGCGCACCCUUCCAUCUCUUCGAUCCCAAAGAAGCCACUGACAUUGACAUGGACACCAUAUUCAACAUCGCCAUUCAAGGCUCCUCCAAAAUGUAAACUCACCCGAAAUGCAAUUUGGAAUAAAGUUUAUUUAUUUAUUUUUUUGUUUGCAUUGAAUUUGAAAAUUGGAAGUUUUGGCAUCUGUGGUUGCCACUGUUUCAGGUUUAGAGGUACUUAUAGGCAAUUAUGACAAGUUUGGAAACUAUAGGAACGAUUUUUUGUGUUAGGAAGCUGUUGCUGAAGAACCCCAAAAUCCCAACUUUUGAAGAAUCCACAAUUCAAAAUUGAAAAUUGAGUGGGAAACCUAAAAUGGGGUCAGUUAAGAGGCACAUAAUGUCAAAGUAGUUUGAUAAUAGAGGUUCUUACUUCUUGUAGAAACAUGUGUUUUGCUUUCAGUGGCGGUGAUAGCAUGUUAUUAUUGGUGGUGUUGGUGCUAGUGUCAUGUAAGAAGAGAGAAGUACCGAGGAUGGGGAGGAGGUUAGGUUAGGAAAGAAAGGUAUUUUUGUUUGAAAAUUAAAAAACAAAAAGGAUUAUUCUAAAAUAUAAUUUAACGUUAGAGAC
rnacentral:lncRNA from 1 species